AUGCAGCCAGGCACUCCCCACUUCUCUCUGCAAGAGCAGCCUCACCACCCCGACCGCAGGGGUCCAGGGACCCCGCAUUCCCUCCCCCGCCCUCAGGCCCCUGCAGGUGCUGAGCCCCAGGCAGGUCUGCAGUGCACGGCACUGCCGGGGGGACGGGGCAUGGACACACAUACCCAGUGGCCCCCAACUACCCACAAGAGCAGGGAGUGUGGCAGCUGCAGGGGUCCUCCCCACCCUGCCCCUCUGGGCACCUCCGGGUGUGCACGCAUGUUUGAGCGUGUGUGGACGUGAGUGUAUCUGUGCAUGUGUGCGAGCAUGUGCGUGUGUGUGCACGUGUGCAUGUGUGGAGUCUAUGAAUGUGUGUGUGUGAGCAUGUGUACACACGUGUGAAUGGAUGCAUAUGGGCAUACGUGAAUGUGGACUGUAUGGAUGUGUGGCAUGCGGGUGUGGGCGUGUGUGUGUGACGGUGUGGACUGUACAGAUAUGUGACGGUGUGGACUGUAUAGAUGUGUGUGUGUGUGUGACGGUGUAGACCAUAUAGAUGUGUGUGUGCAUGUGAUGGUGUGGACUGUAGAGAUGUGUGUGUGUAUGAUGGUGUGGACUAUAUGGAUGUGUGACGGUGUGGACUGUAUAGAUGUGUGUGUAUGACAGUGUGGACUGUAUAGAUGUGAGACGGUGUGGACUGUAUAGAUGUGUGUGUGUAUGACGGUGUGGACUGUAUGGAUGUGUGACGGUGUGGACUGUAUAGAUGUGUGCAUGUAACAGGUGUGGACUGUAUAGAUGUGUGUGUGUUUGUAUGACGGUGUGGACUGUAUGGAUGUGUGACGGUGUGGACCGUAUAGAUGUGUGUGUGUUUGUAUGACAGUGUGGACUGUACGGAUGUGUGACAGUGUGGACUGUAUAGACGUGUGUGUGUAUGACGGUGUGGACUGUAUAGAUGUGUGACGGUGUGGACUGUAUAGAUGUGUGCAUGUAACAGGUGUGGACUGUAUAGAUGUAUGUGUGUGUGUAUGACGGUGUGGACUGUAUGGAUGUGUGAAGGUGUGGACUGUACAGAUGUGUGUGUGUGUGUGUGAGACGGUGUGGACUGUAUGGAUGUGUGCGGGUGUGUGUGUGAGACGGUGUGGACUGUAUGGAUGUGUGCGGGUGUGUGUGUGAUGGUGUGGACUGUAUGGAUGUGUGCGGGUGUGUGUGAUGGUAUGGACUGUAUGGAUGUGUGUGGGUGUGUGUGUGUGAUGGUGUGGACUGUAUGGAUGUGUGGGCAUGCGGGUGUGGGUGU
rnacentral:lncRNA from 1 species